rnacentral:rRNA from 1 species
GAUCAACGCUGGCGGCGUGCCUAAUGCAUGCAAGUCGAGCGGGGUGAUCUUCGGAUCACUUACGCGGCGGACGGGUGCGGAACACGUGGGCAACCUGCCCCGAGGUGGGGGAUAGCCGGUGGAAACACCGGGUAAUUCCGCAUACGGUCAUCAGUCGGAGGACUGGUGAGGAAAGGGUCUUCGGACUCGCCUUGGGAGGGGCCUGCGGCCGAUUAGCUAGACGGUGGGGUAACGGCCUACCGUGGCGAUGAUCGGUAGCUGGUCUGAGAGGACGGCCAGCCACACGGGGACUGAGACACGGCCCCGACUCCUACGGGAGGCAGCAGCAAGGAAUCUUCCGCAAUGGGCGAAAGCCUGACGGAGCAACGCCGCGUGUGGGAUGACGCCUUUCGGGGUGUAAACCACUUUUCUCAGGGAAGAAAUCUUGACGGUACCUGAGGAAUAAGGACCGGCUAACUACGUG